UACAUGGGGUGCAAACGUUGCUCGGAAUCAUUGGGCGUAAAGCGCGCGUAGGCGGUUACUUAUGUCGGAUGUGAAAUCCUGGAGCUCAACUCCAGAACUGCCUUUGAUACUGAAGAUCUUGAGUCCGGGAGAGGUGAGUGGAACUGCGAGUGUAGAGGUGAAAUUCGUAGAUAUUCGCAAGAACACCAGUGGCGAAGGCGGCUCACUGGCCCGGUACUGACGCUGAGGCACGAAAGCGUGGGGAGCAAACAGG
rnacentral:rRNA from 1 species